rnacentral:rRNA from 1 species
UACAGAGGGUGCAAGCGUUAAUCGGAAUUACUGGGCGUAAAGCGUGCGUAGACGGUUAUGUAAGUCGGGUGUGAAAGCCCCGGGCUCAACCUGGGAAUUGCAUUCGAGACUGUGUAGCUAGGGUACGGAAGAGGGAAGCGGAACUUCAGGUGUAGCGGUGAAAUGCGUAGAUAUCUGAAGGAACACCAGUGGCGAAAGCGGCUUCCUGGUCCAGUACCGACGUUCAGGCACGAAAGCGUGGGGAGCAAACAGG